rnacentral:rRNA from 1 species
UUGUUAUUAAUUUAAAGUCGAAUUUGCCCACUGAUAUAAAUAUAUUAAAGGGCUGCAGUAUAUUGACUGUACAAAGGUAGCAUAAUCAUUAGUCUUUUAAUUGAAGACUUGUAUGAAAGAUUUGAUGAGAUAUAUACUGUCUCUUUUUUAUAGUUAGAAUUUAAUUUUUUAGUAAGAAAGCUAAAAUUUAUUUAAAAGACGAGAAGACCCUAUAGAGUUUUAUAAUUAUUUUAAUUAUAAUUUUUUAUUAAAAUUAGAUAAAAAUUAAAUUAAUUAUUUUAUUGGGGUGAUAGAAAAAUAAAUAUAACUUUUUUUUUUAGGUUACAUUAAUUAAUGAGUAAAUGAUCCAUAAUUUAUGAUUUAAAGAAAAAAUUACCUUAGGGAUAACAGCGUAAUUUUUUUUUUUAGUUCUUAUAAAAAGAAAAGUUUGCGACCUCGAUGUUGGAUUAAGAUAAAAUUUAAAUGUAGAAGUUUAAAAUUUUGAUCUGUUCGAUCAUUAAAAUCUUACA